rnacentral:rRNA from 1 species
GACGAACGCUGGCGGCGCGCUUAACACAUGCAAGUCGAGCGAGAACCAGGCCUUCGGGCCUGGGGACAGCGGCGAACGGGUGAGUAACACGUGGGUAAUCAACCCUCGGUACUGGGAUAGCCCGGGGAAACCCGGAUUAAUACCGGAUGGCCCUUCGGAGCUUCGGUUCCGAAGGAAAAGGUAGCUUCGGCCUCCGACCGAGGACCAGCCCGCGGCGGAUUAGCUUGUUGGUGGGGUAACGGCCUACCAAGGCGGCGAUCCGUAGCUGGUCUGAGAGGACGAUCAGCCACACUGGGACUGAGACACGGCCCAGACUCCUACGGGAGGCAGCAGUGGGGAAUCUUGCGCUAAUGCGGGAAACCGUGACGCAGCGACGCCGCGUGAGGGAAGGAGGCCUUCGGGUUGUAAACCUCUUUCAGGAGGGACGAAGCUACUCGGGUUAAUAGCCCAGAGGGUGACGGUACCUCCAGAAGAAGCCCCGGCUAACUCCGUGCCAGCCGCCGCGGUAAUAC